UACGUAGGUGGCGAGCGUUGUCCGGAUUUACUGGGCGUAAAGAGCGCGCAGGCGGUCGUUCAAGUCGCGUGUGAAAGCCCCCGGCUCAACUGGGGAGGGUCACGCGAUACUGAUCGACUCGAAGGCAGGAGAGGGUAGUGGAAUUCCCGGUGUAGUGGUGAAAUGCGUAGAUAUCGGGAGGAACACCAGUGGCGAAGGCGACUACCUGGCCUGUUCUUGACGCUGAGGCGCGAAAGCUAGGGGAGCAAACAGG
rnacentral:rRNA from 1 species